rnacentral:lncRNA from 1 species
UUCCUUUUGUCCCUUAACUUAGAGGAGAAAGUACUAGAAGGAAGAUAAAUCAAUCAAUUGUUAUGCGAUAUGACUUUCACCAAUUGCAUGGAAACAAUCUUCAAUUUCAGUCUACUUGAUUAGGCAGUUGCCAGCUUAGAGGAGGCGAAAGAUGACACAUGGGAAAUCAAAUCCAAUUCAUUCAAAAGACAAUCAUAGCUCACUGUUCU